rnacentral:rRNA from 1 species
CAGCAGGCGCGAAAACUUUACAAUGCGGGAAACCGUGAUAAGGGAACUCCGAGUGCCCGUAAAAUCGGGCUGUCCAUCUGUUUAAAUAACAGGUGAAGAAAGGGCCGGGCAAGACCGGUGCCAGCCGCCGCGGUAAUACCGGCGGCUCGAGUGGUGGCCACUAUUACUGGGCUUAAAGCGUUCGUAGCUGGUCUGUUAAGUCUCUGGGGAAAUCUACUGGCUUAACCAAUAGGCGUUUCAGGGAUACUGGCAGACUAGGGACCGGGAGAGGUGAGGGGUACUCCAGGGGUAGGAGUGAAAUCCUGUAAUCCUUGGGGGACCACCUGUGGCGAAGGCGCCUCACCAGAACGGCUCCGACAGUGAGGGACGAAAGCUGGGGGAGCAAACCGGAUUAGAUACCCGGGUAGUCCCAGCCGUAAACGAUGCGCGUUAGGUGUAUCGGUGACCACGAGUCACCGAGGUGCCGAAGAGAAAUCGUGAAACGUGCCGCCUGGGAAGUACGGUCGCAAGGCUGAAACUUAAAGGAAUUGGCGGGGGAGCAC